UUCAAGGGCUUUUCAGUUAUAACAUGCUCUGGCAGAGCAGAAAGAGGAGGGAGUUGUACCUUCAAUGUCAUCCAGGCCUGCAACAGCUGUGUAGGAGGAAAGAAUCAAACUGCAAAGUAUCAGAACUGGAAUUGAACCCUGAUAACCAGGCCUGCCUGUCAUCUCACCAUUAUCAUAAUCACAACACAUUUCUGCAGCUAAAUGCAAGAUAUGGAGCUGUGGCUUUUGGAGAUGAAUGGAACGUGCACCUUUCACAUCUCAGCUGAGAGACUACACCAGGAUAUGUCUGAGAUGAUUUCAGGGAGAGCUGAAUGACACUCUCUAAAGAAAAUAAACAAACUAACUUGGACCUCUAGACAAGUACAGCAAUGGCAACCCUCCAAGCUGCCUGUGGGAAGCAGCAGUCCCUUUGACCCAGCAGUCCCUGGGCAAACUGCAGUGUGUCCAUGGAGUGGUGACAGCCAUGCAGGGGAGCACCUUUGGCUAACACAGGGACCCCAGGGAGAAGAGAAAGUCCAGGUAGCCAACUGUACCAUGGUAGAGCACCAGUGUGUGCUGGGGAGCUUCAGAGAGAGCCAUUCCCUGCAUAAACAAACAAUCAGUGAGAUGCAGAAGCCACAAUUCCUGUGCUAGUACUGUCCUGCAGAAGCUUCCUCAUGGAUAUUUUCCUUUAUCAAUAGUUGUACUUUUGGACACAAUGGACAGACUGUAGUACAGUGCCAGUGCCUCAGGUCACAGCAGGUUGAAUAAAGCUAAAGCAGGACUUAACCCAACAGUUUUUCCCAGUGGGUUGCAAAAUUUGGUAGCUGUCAUAAGUAUUGGCUUCCUCUUUCUGAAAAGGAAACUGGUUUUGCUCUGGGACAGCAGGAGAGCAAAAAAAACCAGCAAAGUCCCCAAGCUUCAACAGCUGUCCAUCACACACAAUGCUGAAGUGUCCCAAGUUCAUCUCUUUACAACAGGAUUCAAGCUUAAAAAUACAGGAACACUUCUGAAAAUCCAACUCACAAGCACGUGCAUUUAUUUUCUCCCCAAAUCUACAAGAAUUUACAACAAAAAUGUCUAGAAGUGUAAGCUGAUCAGUCAGUACAUUGGUCUGGUAUGGUAUAGAGCUAUAAACAGUAUAAUCAAUGCAAUUUGGAGUAAAUUAUGCUGUUAAAUAGUCCCUGUGAAAAAUUUAGAAGUUAAUGGAAAGAUUUCUACUGCCUUCAAGUUUUUGAUUGUGUUCAAAGAGAGCAUCUCCACCAGCUGCAUAGUGCACAUACAUUGUAGAAUCAUUUCAGCAGCUUCCCUGGACAUUUACAACUACACUUUUCUCUGCUUUAAACUCAGCAGAGUGUAGCUGGUGGCCAUGUGUACAAGGAAUGGUAGUGUACUUUUCAGUGUGAGUGACAGUUUGACAGACGUCUUGUAGAGGUUGGGAUAUUAGUUUCUAAACUUCAGCUUCCCAGUGGAAUUCCCAUUUUUCUUUAAAAAAAAAUCAGCAAAAACUUUGUCUUAUCCUCAGACCAUAGCCCAGUUUAGAAAUCUCAAAUUGGUAGUACUUUAUAGUUCUCUUAAAGUUUCUAUCAGUUAAUUUUCAUACAAACACAUUCUUGUUCCCACUGACAGUCAAAACGGAAUACUUGUGAACUAGUUCAGUUCACACACGUCUUUAUUUAAAAGAAUAUCAGGAGUCACAGAUUUUCUUUUUAAAGAAAAAAUCAGAUCAUCUUGGCCUAAAGCUCUCUCAUCCAGCAGCCAACCCCAAACUCCAGCCUCUGUAUGUGACUGCUUGUUCAAAAUUCCUUCUCAGUCAGUUUUCAGACUUCAGUUCUGCCUCAUUAUUUGACAGACCACUUCUCACACCAAUCCUAGAUAUAUCUUAGGAAUCUCUGGGCUGCUUGACUUUUGAUUUUCAGAAGAAACCAUGGGUCUUAUAACUUUUGUCUUACACAAAGAGGCCAUUGACCCAGUUGUUGAUGUUUAAUUAUGUCCUCUGAUACCUCCUUCCUGAAACAUUGUUUGAUUUUUCUUGGAUCUACACUAACACUAGUUUUCUGUGGUAGAUAGAAUAUGCAACCCAGAAUACUUAAAAUAAAAAUAAUGGAUUCUCUAAAAUACAGAGUUGCAUUCCUAAAGGUUAGUUUCCCUGUCAUGCCAGAAUAAAUCACUCAAAACUAUUUUACAUUAUUUCCUACUAGUCAUAAAUAGAAUUCACCCUGUGAUAAUGCUUGCUGUGAUAUUGGGCCUGAAUGUUGUUCAUUUCUCCUGAUGCCAUCAGUUUUUAUAACCUGUCUCUACUUAGAUUUUGUGACAAACAUUUGUCACAGACAUGGGGUCCACUGGGCUAUGUGUUGGACAUGUGCAGAACAAACAAAGUUUCUGAAUUUUUAUACACUCCACCAUAGCAUUUUCAAAAACAUGUCUUUACUGAGUUUUGUGCUGCUUAUUCCUGUGAGCAUUCAGAUCUGCCUUGACGUUUUAGGUAACUUAAGUACUAUGGUGGCCAUUUUAGUGUCAAAGGAGAAAAAUUAAUAUAAGAUGUUCCAAGUGCUUGGUUUCCAUGUCAUCCUCAAAAAUAUUCUGAAAGGUCGAGUAAUUUGAACUGAAAAUAAUUUGAACAUUUUUUGGCAUUACAAUCAAUGUUCAUAAAGAAACAUGUGGCCAGCUUAGGGUCUCAGUACAAAGCAGCAAAUUGACUCCAUUAUUUUACAGAGGAUCAAGCACUAGGCAGAAGUUUACUUAUGUUAUUGUGCUCAACUCUGAUGAAAUAAUUGAGAUUGCAGAUGGAAGGAACAUGUAGCCCAUCAAAUCCUUUUAAAUACCCAUUUUUAUUAGUAUUUUUACCUGUUAUGCAUGUCAUUAGCAUUGUAAGGAAAGCAAGAGUCAUAGUACAUAUAUUCCUGAAAGUAAGCCAGCUUUAGAGAAAGCCAACAUUAUCUUCCUUUGACCCUACAAAUAAGAGGAUUAGAAGUACAACGGAAAGCAAGAAUGUUUAGAAAGUCUUGGAGGCCACUUUAAAGGCGUUUGUAUGUUGCAAAUGAUCAGAGAAGUGAAUAUUAAAAGAUACAUAGCUGAAUUUCGAAAUUGUAGAGGUUUUGGCAAGCAAGUAAGAAGCCCUUUUCACAUAGUGUCAUCUGUUUUUACUUUUACACAAAAAGAGCCCUGCGGUAUCCUUUUAAAUAGUGCAGGAGCCCUCAGCUGGGCCUCCCUGACUUGCAGUGCAAAACCCACCAAAAUGUAGAAAAACCUUACCCUCUGCAUAGCAGGAGCCAUGGGUCAAGAGUGCAUGUGUGUGUGCCAUAAUAUGGGGCAGAGCUGCGUGAUUUGUAGAGGUUUUACAGAUGAGAAAUUAAGCCAGUUUUGUCACCAUAUUGACACUUCCUCCUAGAUGAAGAAUUCAGACCAGCCCAAAAACAAAAGCCCAGCACUGGGACUAAUCAGCCUUUAAAAUGGAAUAAAUUAACAUUUUAAAAGCAAACCCAUCCCCAGCAGUUUUGUUUGCCAGGAAGGGGAAGACUCCACCAAAUCCAGUAGAGAUUCAGCUGUUGACACUGCCCAGGCAUAUCCCAAUGCACAGUGACACAAAGUCAAGAGAUGGCAUCUUCAGCCUUUUGAAUUAAGAAUGUCUCCAUGGGCUGUUUCAAAUGGAGAUGUCUCUACUACAGCAUUCAUUCUAGUCAGUCGUUUAUUCCUGGAAUUUCCUGUAGGACAUCUGUGUGAUUCAGUCAGUAUAUGGAUAGACAGUUACAAUACAGCUCGAGGCCUUAGGAGCAUCACAGCAUAACCCAGAUUCCCAUUAAUUUCAGUAAUAAUUGUACAUUUUCUGACCUGGCUUCUGCUCUUUUCUGCAGCAGCAUCUCCAAAUGCCACUGCCCAUUCCAUGGAAGACUGCAGCUGACCAUGCAAUGUGGUGAGGCAGCAGCCUUUGACAUGCCCAGCAAUGAACAUGCCAUGAAUCUGAAAGCAAAUAUUUAGGGGCUCAAAGCCCUAGUUUUUGAAUGUUUGAAUCACAAGCUUCAAACAAAUGGGCUUGCAUGAGCACUUCACUAAAAAAAGGAGGGAAUUGGAGCCUUUGUCCUUAAUCCAAACCAGAGUGGUUACUGACAGAAGGACACUUGUAAAGGAUCAAAGCUAUUGCCAAAAAAAAAAGAAGGAGGGAGGGGGUAGUUAAAAGAGAGGGUACAGCAUUAUCUUCAUUCCAACAGAUACUUUCCUGUCUGGAAAACAGUGAGAGAGACUGCACAUAAACAUUUUUAUUGUCAUGUCACAUGAUGGUGCUGCAUUGAAGGUGAUAGAUUUCCUAGCAAAUGUUUGUGUGGAAAGGCAAACGUGGCAGAGAGAACUCCUAGGACCUUUGGACCUUGCCAGCCCCCCAGGAAUGCUAGGGAUCAGUGAGGACCAGCAGGUUCCUUACAGUGGGAGUGUGAGAACGUGUGUGAGAGAGACAGUGAGUUCAUAUGCAGUGAAAUAAAGGAAUGUCUGAGGCUUUACAUUUGUGUAUAUACUUCACUGCAUACCACUUUACAUGAUAUAUAUAUAAGUUAAAAUAACAUAUAGUAUAAAUUUCAUCUACCAGUUUUUCAUUAUAGUCUAUAAAUGUGCAGAACUAAACAGUAUUUUAAAGACUGAAAUUCUGUCCAGAGAACUCAAAAGCAGGAUCUUGCUGGUUGUGCAAGAGUGCAAGGAGCAUUUAUGGGAGCUUUACACAUGGCAGGCUUGUUUGAGUGUAUUUCCUUUCAUUGCUUCGUGCAGCAGAGAACUGGAUACACCAGAUACACAGUGGCCAAAUUAUUUCUUGUAUAGCCAUCAGCAAAGUUGCACCAAGACAGGACCAUUUUGUCUAUUGGCCUUUGUUACAACUACAGUUAUUGUAAACUACAUAUUUGCUGAGAAAUUUAUUCCUUGCUUUAAUUUGACACUUUAUUAACCUGAGGAAAUUAACACAAAACAGAACCAUCUUUUUCCUGUUCAUUUAAAGUCCCAUUGCUGAAACAGACAAACAAAUUGCACAAAGUUUAUAUAAUGGCCAGUACUAGAUGUAAAAUAACUUACAGCUUGUGGUUAUAGAACAGCCUGCUGUUACUUGUUUAUAUUACUGCCCUGAAUCUCAAUUCUUCUUAUCCCCUGUUAACAAUGUUAAUUUUAUGUUAGGUGGACAAUACUGACAUCCAUGUAAAUUGUUUAUAUUGGUUUGAAUCCUUCUAUAUUGGAUGCUGAAGUCUGCAUCCUAUGAGUUCCCUAAGCUACCACUGUAAAGUAAAAACUGGAAGAUGGGGAGUGAGAAGAGGACAUUGCAUAGGAAAGCAAACUGCAGCUCAUUUCAAUUUCAUACUAUUGCUGCGUGAGAACUGUCCUUCACACAGAAGUAUGGGAAAGUAGAUCUUUUCCUGUAGCAGGUCCCAAAUAACAUGUAGGUCCAGAGCUCUGCUUAAACUGAGGCUUGUGGGACAGCACAAUUUAACUAGAGGUCUGCAGUGCUUAACCAGUUAUAUCAACUCUUGCCUUGCUACUCAUCUUCUGCUAGCCAUGCUCCAGAAGGUCACUGUUGAUCACUGGAUGACAAAAAGCAGCUAUGA